AUGAACGCUGGCGGCGUGCUUAACCCCUGCAAGUCGAACGGAAAGGCUCCUGCUUGCAGGGGUACUCGAGUGGCGAACGGGUGAGUAACACGUGGGUGAUCUGCCCUGCACUUCGGGAUAAGCCUGGGGAACUGGGUCUAAUACCGGAUAGGACCACAUUUUGGAUGGUGUGGUGGAAAGUUUUUCGGUGUGGGAUGAGCUCGCGGCCUAUCAGCUUGUUGGUGGGGUAAUGGCCUACCAAGGCGUCGACGGGUAGCCGGCCUGAGAGGGUGUACGGCCACAUUGGGACUGAGAUACGGCCCAGACUCCUACGGGAGGCAGCAGUGGGGAAUAUUGCACAAUGGGCGCAAGCCUGAUGCAGCGACGCCGCGUGGGGGAUGACGGCCUUCGGGUUGUAAACUCCUUUCGCUAGGGACGAAGCGCAAGUGACGGUACCUGGAGAAGAAGCACCGGCUAACUACGUG
rnacentral:rRNA from 1 species